rnacentral:rRNA from 1 species
UACGUAGGGGCAAGCGUUGUCCGGAUUUAUUGGGCGUAAAGCGCUCGCAGGUGGUUCGUCGCGUCGUGCGUGAAAGACCCCGGCUCAACUGGGGAGGGUCGUGCGAUACGGGCGGACUGGAGGCCAGUAGGGGAUGCGGAAUUCCGGGUGGUAGUGGUGGAAAUGCGUAGAGAUCCGGAGGAACACCAGCGGCGAAGGCGGUGAG